AAAAACUCCGGUGGUAUGAGAUGGACCCGCGUCUGAUUAGCUGGUUGGCGGGGUAACGGCCCACCAAGGCGACGAUCAGUAGCCGACCUGAGAGGGUGACCGGCCACAUUGGGACUGAGACACGGCCCAAACUCCUACGGGAGGCAGCAGUGGGGAAUAUUGCACAAUGGGGGAAACCCUGAUGCAGCAACGCCGCGUGAGUGAAGAAGUAUUUCGGUAUGUAAAGCUCUAUCAGCAGGGAAGAAAAUGACGGUACCUGAGUAAGAAGCCCCGGCUAACUACGUGCCAGCAGCCGCGGUAAUACGUAGGGGGCAAGCGUUAUCCGGAUUUACUGGGUGUAAAGGGAGCGUAGACGGCGAUGCAAGUCUGAAGUGAAAGCCCGGGGCUCAACCCCGGGACUGCUUUGGAAACUGUAUGGCUGGAGUGCUGGAGAGGCAAGCGGAAUUCCUAGUGUAGCGGUGAAAUGCGUAGAUAUUAGGAAGAACACCAGUGGCGAAGGCGGCUUGCUGGACAGUAACUGACGUUGAGGCUCGAAAGCGUGGGGAGCAAACAGGAUUAGACACCCUGGUAGUCCACGCUGUAAACGAUGAAUGCUAGGUGUUGGGGAGCAAAGCUUCUCG
rnacentral:rRNA from 1 species